GUCCGAGACGGAGCAUCAUGGCGAUUGACGGAGGGGGCAGAAACUGUGGUGUUCAUGAACUCAUCUGUGCCAGACGAGCAACAAGCUGUCAGUGGGGAGUCCUGACGAUCUGUCACAGCUCAGUGGUUAUAAGGACACC